CUGGCGGCGAGCGGCGAACGGGUGAGUAAUGCUUCGGAAUCUGCCCAGUAGUGGGGAACAACCAGUCGAAAGACUGGCUAAUACCGCAUACGACCUAAGGGUGAAAGCAGGGGAUCGUAAGACCUUGCGCUAUUGGAUGAGCCGAAGUCGGAUUAGCUAGUUGGUGAGGUAACGGCUCACCAAGGCGACGAUCCGUAGCUGGUCUGAGAGGACGACCAGCCACACUGGGACUGAGACACGGCCCAGACUCC
rnacentral:rRNA from 1 species